CCUCCGUCCGCGUUUCGUUGUUGUUCAAUUUUAAGUGUUCGUUUUAUUUGAAUUUUUUUUAAUUAGUAUUUUUAUUGUUUUCAGAUGAUAAAACCUGAACAGUAUUUUAUAUGUGAUUUACUUUUUUUAUUUUUUUAAAAAAAUUUAAAUAAGAUAAAUAAUUAAAGUUGGAUAAAAAACUUAUCACUACGUUUAAA
rnacentral:pre_miRNA from 1 species